GAUAUUUUGCUUUCGUUUGUCGUUUCGCUGGUCACUGGCAGCGAGGCAAGUUUUGCUCAUUGGCGUGUGCGCCGUUCCCGUGUCGGACUCCCCGGGAGCUCCGAGGUCACCGCGCUGCUCUGUCUAUAUGUGUGGUACCAAUGGAAUGUACUAGGUGGACUUGCUCUAAAAGUGGUACUGAUGAAGAUCUGCUUGCAAACGUUCAGUUAUUACAGAAUCAGCUGAGGAGAACUGAAAAAAACCUUCAAACAGUAGAGAAAGAGCUUUCCAGUACAAAUGAACAUUACGGCCACUGCUUUGCUGAGGCGACAGACUUCGCUCUGGAGGAUUUUGUACAGCCUAAUUAUAACAGUCAAGGCUUUUCCAACCCCAAGAAGAAUUGUGGUAAAACAUCUGACCAAGAUUUUCAAAGAAAACCCAAAUCUUACUCAGUAUCCACAACUUCGGAUAAAACUGUGGAAGAAAAUGAGCGUCUUCAAGAGCAAAAUGCAUCUUUGACUUCUCAGAACCACUACCUAAAGAACAGAGUAGAAACAAUGAACUUUGAAUUGAUGCAGUCAAAAACAAAAAUUUCGUAUCUUGAAUCCACUUUAGGUACACAUUUAGUCAGCGUUCCGAAGUUGAAAGAACAGAUUUUAAACUUGGAAGCAGAAGUUUCAGCUCAAGAUAAAAUUCUGAAAGAUGCAGAAGAUAGACUAGAUCAAAACCGGAAAACAGCACUGGAAAGAGAAAACAUGUUGCAAAGAUAUCAAAAGGGCUAUAAAAAUCUGAAAAUGGAGUUAAUUGAACGGAGCAAGCAAGGAAAGAGAGCAGAACAGCAAAGAAAUGAAGCUUUGUUGAACGUGAAGGAGCUGACAAGAGCUUUCAAAAAGUAUAAAGCAGAAAUAACUGAAAAAUUAGAAAAGGUUAAAGCUGAAGAAUUAGUCUUGGGAAAACAUUUAAUUAAUUGUGAAAAAGAAAAAGAGAAGUUGAAUGAAAAAUGUAUCAGCUACAGAAAGGAUCUAAACAUCCUAGAAGAGCAACUAAGGCAAUUAAAGGAAGAGAAUAGUAGCACAAAAGAAGAAAUUAAGACUCUAGAGGCAAAGAACACUGAAAUUACAUCAAUGCUGAGUCGGUCUGAUCAGAAGAUCAUCAAGCUUGAGAGUGAACUUUCUGAAAAAGAAAAUGUGCUUAAAGAGCAAAAUGCUCUAAUAAGUGAAAAUGCAGAGCUGAGAGCACUUACUGCACAGCAACAUAACCACUUGAAAUUAUGUCAUCAAGAAAUUGAGAAUUCAAGGGAAGAGCUCAACAUACUAGAAACCAUUAUUUCUCAGUUGUCUUCAAGUACAUCUGAAGAGCUUAAAUGGCACCAUUUCAAACACCAGCUUUUGAGUUCCUCAACAAAAGAAGUUAUCUCAGAGUCUUGUGGUGAAUCAAGUAAACCUUUGAUUGCAGACCUAAGCAUUAAACUGUCAAUGAAAGAAGCUGAAAUUCAAAAGCCUCGUGCAAACUUAACUAUCUGUACUGGAGCUGAGCAUCUGUCUAAUGAUAAUGAAGGACAAGAAAAUAGCAGGUUAUGUGGCCUGGAAACAGAGCCUGUCAAAUUGAUCAGAAGUCAAGGAGAGAGGAGAAAAUGCCAACAGUUGGAACUUAUAAGCAAGCAGUUUGAAAAGAUGAGGCGAAGAUUCCAGAAAGAGAUAGAAGAGUUACGCACUAAACUGACAAAAGCAGAUGAUGAAAAUUCUUCUUUGAAGAGCAGCAUGGCUCAAAGGACCAGCCAGUUUCAAAUCAUACAGGAAGACCUACUGAAGAAGGCUUCAAAAACUAGUAGCUUAGAGAAAGAAAUGAGAAAGAAAUCUUCUCAACUUUCUGAACUUGAAGAACAGUUGGAAGAAAAGACUAUUGCUUAUUCCACUGCUGCAGCAAGAAAUGCUGAGUUGGAACAGGAACUCAUGGAAAAAAGCAGACGCAUUCAUGAGUUGGAAGCAACUAUCAGUGAAGAACAUAAGAAAAUAAAUUCUGCUUUUGAAAAUGCAAAGUUGGUUCACCUUGAGCAGCACAAAGAGAUGAAGAAACAGAUAGAACUACUUCAGACACAGCUGGAGCAGAAACAUCAACAAUUCAUUGAACAAGAGAAAAUAAUAUCUGUUUUACAACAAGAGGUUAUACAUAAACAGCUUCAUUACAUUGAAUCAUUGGAUGGGCUGCUGAUAGGAAGCAGAGAGGUACAACAACUCGAGUCAGCAUUAAAGGUAUGUAAGGAAGAAGUUGUAAUGUAUUUGAGUCAGUCACAAGAAAAUAAGGAGGUGUUUGAAAAUCAGCUCAAAGACAGGUCUGAAGAGCUUCAUUAUUUGCAGAAAGAAAUAAAAAAAAAAGAUCAGAAUAUUCAGGACACGAGUGAACAAACUACUCUCCUACAAACUUUGCUUCAUCAUCAGCAAAUGUUACAGCAAGAAACUAUUAGAAACGGGGAGCUGGAAGAUAAUCAGAUUAAACUUGAACAACAGGUAUCCACUUUGGAGAAGGAGCUUCAGAAUCAGAAAGCAUGUGCAGCAGAUGAGUUGAGAAAGGUGGAGGAGAAACUUCGCUUUGCUGCUCAGGAAGCAGAUUUAAACGGACAGAAGGUGGAUGAACUGAAUUGUACAAUCAGGCAGAUUAAAUUGGAGAUGGAUCAGUGCAAGAAUGAACUUAUUGAUAUGGAAAAAGAAGUAGUGCAAUUACAACAAGAUGGUGAAAACAAAACAGUGCAGAUAAAUCAGUUGGAUAUCACUUUGGAAGAAGCAAGAUCAGAGCUCAAUAAAAAGGCAAAUGAGGUGAAUGAUUUAGAAGAUAAGCUGCUUCAAAGUGAGACUUGCCACAGGGAAGCCUUACAGAAAAUAGCAGAACUAGAAUCUGCAUUACACAAUGCCCGUGGAGAAUUAAAAAUCACUUUAACACAGCUUCAGGAAUUGCAAGAUGCAUUACAGAAUGCACAGUCCUCUCUGGAGGAGAAGCACAUUGCUAUCAUGGAGCUAACAACUGAGCUCAGGUAUUGCAAGGGUGAAGUUGAAGACAAAAAACAAGAACUCCUUGAAAUGGACCAAGCACUGAAAGAAAGGAAUUGGGAACUGAAACAAAGAGCAGCUCAGAUUACAAAGCUGGAUAUGACAGUUCGUGCAUAUAGGGAAGAAAUGGAACAACAAAUAAUUCAAUUACAGUGCAAUUUAGAAAAGUCAGAGUUGGAAAUCAAGGAAUGCAAUAAAAAGAUUGAGAACUUAGAAAAGAAACUUCAGCAUUCUAAAGAUAAGCUUCGUGAAAAAGAGUUUGAACUGCUCCACAGAGACCAAGAAAUAAAUCAGCUGAAGAAAAAAAAAAAUCAAAGAAAACAACAUAGCCUAGAAGCUCUUGAAAAGGUAAAAUGUACAUAACAAAUUAUCAAUUUUUAAUGCCAUUACUGUACCUGCCUAGAAGGAACUAUACAGUUUCUCUUUAGCAUAAGUGUCAUUAAUUCUCCCAGAAUCAUUGUAUUUUAUAUCCUGGUGUUUGCUGAAUCUUAAUCCCCUGAAGUUAAACCAGUUUAGUUAUUUAAAAAUUACAAAUUUAAUGGCACACUCUUAAUUGUCUGCUUUCUGUGGAGAAAUUUGAAUACUAAUGAUCUUUAGUAACCCUUUUUUCUGACUGUGGACAACAUGGUCUUCCUUGAAAUGACACAAAACAAAAUGCUGUAUAAUGAGGGCUUCUCAUGAUUUAGGCACUAUCUUGCAAAACUUAUUGCAUCCAAAGAGCCCUGAUAUGUGGCAUGUUUAUAGCAACAAGAAGUGAGAGUUUUUUGGCAUAGUGAAUGGGAGCAUAUGGAUAGAAUAAACUUUAUAGAUGACUUUAUGAAUUAUAUAAAUCUUUGGUUUGGUGCAUGAAUCAGUCCCUACAGAUAUAAAUGUGACCUGAGAUAAGCAGGCUUUGUGCAGAUGAUUGCCAGCUAGAGGUAAACUCCAAAGCCCCAACGGCUCCUGCUACUUUGGUUGGUUGUGCUGCAUUUGUGUGUUUCUUUUCCCUAGGGUGAGAUAUCAGAGAAGGCUUAUUUCUGUGUGGUCACCAAAAGCAUUUGGUCUGCAUUCUAGAUCAUGGAGGCUUGGCAGUGUAACAGCUGAAUAUGAAAGUUGUUUCACUGCCAAUUAAAGCAGUGUCAGCUCUCCCGUCUUGUUUUCUGUUAGGUUGUUUAUGACACUCGAGAACAGGACAGUGACUGCUGCUACCGUUCACACGUAUCAUUAACAUAUUUCCAACUUUUCCUAAGGGAUGAUUCUGAAGGAAAGAAUUUCCUAGCUAGCCCCUGUACAACUGCUGACUAGACCCUUUCUUUCCAGACAAAUUGCCUUGUUAUUGUUUUUGCUAAGGAAUACCAGGUAGGGAGAGGCCUUAGAAUGAUAUAAGAAAGGCUUUGAAAAUAGACCUACUCCAGUCAUGUUCCUUUAGAGACUUGGGAUGAAGGAAAAGAAAUUUUAAGUUUAUUUUCAUUGUAAUGAGGUGGAUAAAACACUAGAUUUUGGAAGCAUUCUGCAUAAAAUACAAAAUACGUUGCAGAGGGCUUCUGGCUUCACUUAGAAUAUGAUGUGGUUCCUUCUUUGUUUAAAAAUUGUGUAUAUUAACAUGAUAUAAGAAAACACUUUCUCCAUUAGUAACACAUUGCAGACUGACUGACCAGUCUUCCACAGAAACUUUCUGUCCUAGUUCUAAAAACUCAAUUGCCUAAUUUAUCUAGGGAAAAGGGGUAGGGGCUGUGUGUGUCUGGCCCAGGGGAGUAGUCUGUCUCAUUCUUUUUCCUCUUAAUACACUACUUUGUCUGCUUAUUACAGAAAAUAUAUUAGUUCAGGGAAGGAAUUGCUAGAGAGGGUUGAUUUCUGUCCUAGUCCACUCUGCCCCUUUGGGACUCAUGAAAUAACCAGGUCACAGAUUUUUCGGUUGAAUCGUUCUUUGUUCUUACUCUGCUUCAAUCUGCAGUGAGGAUCUUGUAACAAUUCAGCACUCUGCUACUCUUCGAAGUUGGGCAAGAACUGUGAAGAAAUGAAUGUUGCCCAUUGGACAAGCAGCAACCCAGGAAUGCUACUGCUGGCAUCAUUAUUGUGCAUUCAAAGAGGAAAUGUUAAUGUUGUAUUUCUAAAGAAGGAAUGCAGUUAUUUGUACUGAAGCAGAUGAUACCCUUUUUAUUUUUCCAACUGUUUUUAAGAUUAUUGCCUUGAUUUAAUAACAUAUUAAUUUAUUUUUUUAUACUUUAAAAAAAAUUAUUUCUCUUAAGUUGUAGGAAUUAAUUUCAGCUCUCGUCUUUUUCCAAGGAUUUUGAAUGGAGUACUUGUUUCGUAUCUCACUUCUAAUUAAAAACACAAUGGUAUUAUUAAGAACUUUUGUUUGGGAAUAUUUUAUCUUCUUUUUUUGUACAUAUGCAGUGUUGCAGACACAACAUCUUAUUAAAAUUGACCUGUUUGCAAGAUGUUUUAGGACACUGAUUUGAUCACAGACACUGGGAAAACCUGCUCGCUUUAUUCCAAGCAGUAUCUUUAAAAUGCA